AGCUUAGUUUAGAGUUGAAAACUCUAAUGCUGACCAACUGGGGAAAAGUUCAGUUUAGGGUUGGGGCCCUAAUGCUGACUGAAUGGACAGAAGUUCAGUUUAGGGUUUAAACCCCUAAUGUUGACUGAAUGGAAAAAGUUCAGUUUAGGGUUUAAAACCCUAAUACUGACUGAAUGGAAAAAGUUCAGUCUAGGGUUUAAAACCCUAAUGCUGACUGAAUGGAAAAAGUUCAGUUUAGGGUUUAAAACCCUAAUGCUGAAUGAAUGGAAAAAGUUCAGUCUAGGGUUUAAAACCCUAAUGCUGACUGAAUGGAAAAAGUUCAGUCUAGGGUUUAAAACCCUAAUGCUGGCUGAAUGGAAAAAGUUCAGUCUAGGGUUUAAAACCCUAAUGCUGGCUGAAUGGAAAAAGUUCAGUCUAGGGUUUAAAACCCUAAUGCUGGCUGACCAUUCAGUUCAGUCUAGGGUUUAAAACCCUAAUGCUGGCUGAAUGGAAAAAGUUCAGUCUAGGGUUUAAAACCCUAAUGCUGGCUGAAUGGAAAAAGUUCAGUCUAGGGUUUAAAACCUUAAUGCUGGCUGAAUGGAAAAAGUUCAGUUUAGGGCUUAAAACCCUAAUACUGGCUGAAUGGAAAAAGUUCAGUUUAGGGUUUAAAACCCUAAUGCUGGCUGAAUGGAAAAAGUUCAGUCAAGGGUUUAAAACCCUAAUGCUGACUGAAUGGAAAAAGUUCAGUUUAGGGUUUAAAACCCUAAUGCUGACUAAGGGAAAAGAGUUCAGUUUAGGGUUUAAAACCUUAAUGCUGACUAAAGGAACAGAGUUCAGUUUAGGGUUUAAAACCCUAAUGCUGACUAAAGAAAAAGUUCAGUUUAGGGUUUAAAACCCUAAUGCUGACUGAAGGGAAAGAGUUC
rnacentral:lncRNA from 1 species